rnacentral:rRNA from 1 species
UACGGGGGGGGCAAGCGUUGUUCGGAAUUACUGGGCGUAAAGGGCUCGUAGGUGGCCAACUAAGUCAGACGUGAAAUCCCUCGGCUUAACCGGGGAACUGCGUCUGAUACUGGAUGGCUUGAGUUCGGGAGAGGGAUGCGGAAUUCCAGGUGUAGCGGUGGAAUGCGUAGAGAUCCGGAAGAACACCGGUGGCGAAGGCGGCCUGCUGGGCAGUUUAGCUGACACUGAGGCGCGACAGCGUGGGGAGCAAACAGG